rnacentral:tRNA from 1 species
GAGGUCUUAGCUUAAUUAAASYGUUUGGGUUGCAUUCAGGAGAUGUAUAUUAGAAUUAUACAGGCCUUC